GCGGUUCUGGCUGGUGAAACUCCCACAGUCCUGCUCUCUCUCUCUCUCUCAUUCUCCACGUGUGGGGACGGGUGUCAAGCAUCCUGAAAAAGACCCGAGGACCGGGUGGUGGAACGCUGCUGCAGACCUGGACUAUUUUCACUGGAUUCUGAGUGAGCGAGUGCAGAGCUCAAACUCCCAACUUCGAAGGAGAGGAUGUAGGCCUGCAGUGUGGUUGCUGAUUUCUCUGGGAGCUUGAUGAAGCUCAUUCUGGGAAAGAUGAAAAAAACCUGGAAGCCGGAAUCAACUGCUUCUAGAACUGCUGCUGCCAGGGAAAGAAACCGCUAGUACAGAAGGUGUCUGACUUCGUAUGACCUUGGUGAAGAGUUUCAGGAAGGAGAAUGGCUCAUGAAAUCGUCUUGUCGGCCUUAGAGACCAGACAGAUUGGACUGCAAUCCUUACUACUCUAGAAAACGAGGAGAUGCGGGUGACAACACCCGAUCGGUCACCCACUGAGUGAGGCCAGAGAUCGAACCCGCGUCCUCAGGAAUACUAUGUUGGGUUAACCCAGUGAGCCGCAACAGGAACUUCCAGCAAAGCGUUUUUUAAAGGCAAGGUCAUGUUCACUGUGCCAUCGUGACAGUCGUGCUGAGGAGUGAAGCCACGGGCAUCUUGCAAACUUGGAGCUGUGUCCUGGGAGACUUCUACUUGCCCUUUGAAGAUGGGAAGAGGGGCAGGUGUGUAUUGGUUCAACAUAAGUGGCUGCUCCAGGCUUUGAACAUCUUCAGUGAAACUUUGUUGUGAGAAAUUCUUCCUUCACCUCUCCGUUAAAGUAUGGAAACCCCAAAUGAAUUGGUGGAAAGCUCAGAAGACAACUCUUCUGACAGGAGCCACUAUUUCAAGGCUGGUUGAUAAGAACUUGUGCAGCUUUUCCAUCUGGGCCUCUUGGAGCACUUGCUUUUGAAAUUCAGCCAUCAUGCCAUGAGGAAGCCAAACUGGCCCCAAGGAGUGGCCUCUGGCCAACAGCCCCAGAUGAACUCCCAGCUGACACCCGCACCAACUUUACAGCCAUAUGACAGCUAUGUUUCUCAUUUGAUUCUCAAAUUGAAACCAUGGGUAAAGAGUCAAAUCCGUUUCACUUGCUUUCAGCAAUCAAGGUCUUUUUAAGUCUUAAUGCAUCUUUUAAGCUGCAUGGAGUCUAAAGAAUAAGACAUUUGCCUGAGCUGUCUUCAGGAACUUAAGAGUCUCAGCUGUGUCUAGUUUGGGCUGAGCUGAUGAGACUGGAUAGGACCACCAAUCCCUCAGCUGGGCCUGUGUGCAAGUCUGCUGGUGACCUGGUAAACCUGUGGAGGCCUGAAGCCUAGUUACGCCUGCGCAGAAGGACAAUUCCCACACCAUUUUCCAAUCACCUUUCUUCACCCUCCCCACACUGUUGGUGCUUCCCAUGCCUCAGACUGCUGUCUCCUUAUUCCUGACCUCAUAAAUACCCUGAGCCUGCUGGUUUUGUAGGGGGGUUUGUGCAUGUGUACCUUCACUCAGGACACUUGCACCCCAAAUCUGGGCUUGUGCACUCUGGCUUUGGAGCCCAUGCAGGAAAAAGGCAGAGUUUUUAGCCCUCUGCUAAAUAUUUUGGAGUUUUGAAUUUAAGGACAGAGAGCUGCUUCCUGAAGGAAGGGAAAGCUCUAGCCAGACUUGCAGUUCCCACCAAGACAAUUUUAGGGCUUCUUGGAAUGGGUGGCAUUGCCACUUCUGGAUCCUCCCUUUGGACUCAUAGCAAAGCCCUUUGAACGAAGCCUUUAAAGGAGAAGACUGUGACCCUCUAGGACAAAAUCUUGGAGAAUAAACAUUCAGAAGACUGGCUCCAUCAUUGCUGGACUGGACCUUAUGAGCAAUAGAUGGGCAACGGAAACCAUGCUUGACAAAAACCAGGACCAAGAUCAUCCAAACCUAGGCUGGUUCCAGACGCAGGCACUGACUUCUCCCAGGGGCCGGGUGAACCCCAACAGAUCUUAAGUUGUUUUCCCGAAGCUGUGAGCAAGACAUCAAGAGAGUUGAAAGGAUAUGGCUUUUUAGCAAGGAGAAAACUGAAUGGGGCUUCAAACAGAUAUUCCUGAAGAAAGGUAGCUGGACAAGGUAACGACAGUCUUGAGAAUUUCUUAAAUGAAAAGUAUGAUGGAAGUGUCAUAUUGGCCAACCUCUACCCUCCACUCUCUGAUGCAGUUAAGUGAGGUUGAAAGCAGUAUUUCACAUUUCCUGCCCUUAAUUUAAGGAAAGGUUAACAUGCAGGGUUUGCAUACAUUCCUUCUUUGGGUUGUGAUCUGAAAUCAGGUAAAGCUGGGAGGAGAGACACAUAUGGCAGAACAAUGUUAACUCUUAAGACGUUGAUUUCCAGAGACAGUCUUUUUAGCUUUGGGCUUCCACUCUUUACUUCAUUUUUCAAGUGUAAAGAUAAAACCUUGGGGAGUUCCUAUCGUGGCACAGCAGAAACAAAUCCGACUGGGAACCAUGAGGUUGCAGAUUCGAUCCCUGGCCUCACUCCAUGGGUCAAGGAUCCAGCGUUGCCGUAAGUUGUGGUGUAGGUCGUGAUGCAGCUUGGAUCUGGCAUGGCUGUGGCUGUGGUGUAGGCUGGCAGCUGUAGCUCCGAUUUGACCCCUAGUUUGAGAACCUCCAUAUGCUGCAGGUGUGUGGCCCUAAAAAGACAAAAAAAAAAAAAAAAAAAA
ensembl:lncRNA